AGCCAUAUGCACAAUAUGAGACUCCAAGAAGGCUGGAUGGUUAAAGCUCGAACACCCUCUUCAGAACCGAGAGAAAACUGGGGGGCUAUAGGCAAUUUUAGAACAUUAGUAAAGCAUUUUAGGAGAGAUGAAAGGCCCCAUGAGACAGAAAUUAGCUUGUAAAUAAUUCUUUUUGUAAAGUGAAUAGGACAUGAAAGCAAACAAUAGUUUGGGGAACCAAGCCUGGUGGCAUCCAGAACUUUCAGACAAGAAAUUUCUGUUUAACAAGCCAUCCAAUAUGUAGUACUUUGUUAUGGCUACCCUAACAAACUAAUAUACUCAUGCAUAUCUUGUUCUAGAAUUAUUUGUCCUCAUCAACACACUUUACCAGGGCCUUCAGUCUGACACACAGAGCUAGGUGGAGGCUUGGCAGAGCAGCCGCUCAGGCACACACAGAGAACUGGGAGCUUUAGAUACUCAAGCUUUCCAGGCUUCCUAGCAAAAGUAGCUGCAACUCCAGCAAAGCAGGAGGUUAGACCCCCAUACAUAUCCCUUGGAAAGAGGCUGAAUCCAGGGGGCUGAGCAGUGACAGUCUGCAGGCCCCACUUCCACAGUACCUCACAGGAUAAGACCCACUGGCUUGGAAUUCCAGCCAACCACUGGCGGCAGUGUUGCGCAUCCCUGGGACAGGGAGGCUGCCAUCACUGUUGUAUGGGCAAUUUAGCCAUUAAGGCCUUCUGGCUUUGGAGAAUUCAGACCAACUGGGGGCAGAAAGGUUCCCCCAGCACAGCACAGCUGCUUUACCAAAACAUGGCCAGACUCCUUCUUUAAGUGGGUCCCCGAUUCCAUUGCUCCUCACUGGGUGGAACUUCCCAACUGGGUCCUCGAGCCACCCUUGCCCCUGUUCUCUGGCUGACAGCGAUUUGAAAAUU
rnacentral:lncRNA from 10 species